rnacentral:rRNA from 1 species
GACGAACGCUGGCGGCGUGCUUAACACAUGCAAGUCGAACGGUAAGGCCCUUCGGGGUACACGAGUGGCGAACGGGUGAGUAACACGUGGGUGAUCUGCCCUGCACUUCGGGAUAAGCCUGGGAAACUGGGUCUAAUACCGGAUAGGACCACUGCCUGCAUGGGGGGUGGUGGAAAGCUUUUGCGGGGUGGGAUGGGCCCGCGGCCUAUCAGCUUGUUGGUGGGGUGAUGGCCUACCAAGGCGACGACGGGUAGCCGGCCUGAGAGGGUGACCGGCCACAAUGGGACUGAGAUACGGCCCAGACUCCUACGGGAGGCAGCAGUGGGGAAUAUUGCACAAUGGGCGCAAGCCUGAUGCAGCGACGCCGCGUGAGGGAUGACGGCCUUCGGGUUGUAAGCCUCUUUCAGCACCGACGAAGCGCAAGUGACGGUAGGUGCAGAAGAAGGACCGGCCAACUACGUGCCAGCCGCCGCAGUAA